CCUACGGGAGGCAGCAGUAGGGAAUAUUGCUCAAUGGGGGAAACCCUGAAGCAGCAACGCCGCGUGGAGGAUGAAGGUUUUCGGAUUGUAAACUCCUUUUGUUAGAGAAGAUAAUGACGGUAUCUAACGAAUAAGCACCGGCUAACUCCGUGCCAGCAGCCGCGGUAAUACGGAGGGUGCACGCGUUACUCGGAAGCACUGGGCGGAAAGAGCGCGUAGGCGGGAUAGCAAGUCAGAUGUGAAAUCCUAUGGCUUAACCAUAGAACUGCAUUUGAAACUGUUAUUCUAGAGUAUGGGAGAGGUAGGUGGAAUUCUUGGUGUAGGGGUAAAAUCCGUAGAGAUCAAGAGGAAUACUCAGUGCGAAGGCGACCUGCUAGAACAUAACUGACGCUGAUGCGCGAAAGCGUGGGGAGCAAACAGGAUUAGAUACCCCUGUAGUC
rnacentral:rRNA from 1 species